UGUUCCUGGCCACUCCACGUCCCCUCGGCUGCCGUCCUGUGUGCUGCCCUGGGAGAGUGCAAGGAAGGGUGGCCCCCUGAGGCUGAUACGAAAUGCCUCAGUGUGAAUGCUCACCUCGGGCUGAGCCAACCCCUCCAGACACGUUCUGCAGCUCGAGGAAGGAACUGCCCUUUGCAGCUGGGAUCUGCCCGAGUUUCAGCAGCAGCCUUGAAUUGUAAUCCCGAGCGGCUGGCGAAUAACACAGCACACAGCACUCGAGAGCCCAGACCACCCUGGCCUGCCACACCCCCAUCCUAUGACUAUAAAAACUCGCGAGACCCUGGCAGGCACGCACAAGCUGCUGGACGUGGAGAGGAGCGGAUUGGCAGAGGAGCACUCAGGCGGCUGGACGUCGAGAGGAACGCACUGACGGGCGCCGGCACCCCGGCAGGCUACCAACCGGCAGCAGAAUGACCUGGAGUUUGGCUGGGGCAGCCAGAGGAGAGCCCGGGCCCGACUCCAGGGGAAAACCGUCCCACUCCAUCUUCUUCUGCCUUCCCCCAUCUGCUACCUCCACUCAA
rnacentral:lncRNA from 1 species